AUAGAAAUGUCUCAUUUAUCGAUGUGGGACAUUUUAAAUGACUUAGCGCUUGAUUGGUUUUCCCUCUACCACCCGCAAACGCAGCGUUUGCGGUUGGUAGCGGUUGUUAGCGAUUGACACCAAUCAUAAAAACCGCUAGACAUCGCUUUGGGCCGCUCGAAAUCGCCCGUUUUCAAAAGCUCCUUCCCGCAAGCGUUUGCGGUUGCGGGCGGUAGCGGUUAGGUUAAAAAGAAAACUUUU
rnacentral:sRNA from 1 species